CGCCCACCGGCCAGCGCUCCCGCUCGGGGCCUCGGGUUGUCGGUUUGUGAAGCGGCCGGAAUGAAGUGAAGGGAAGGCGGGAGGGUCCUGACAGGAGGUCCAGGCUGGGUCUCUCUGAUCAACAGAAAUCAAGUUACAGCAUAGAGUCUUGGCGUGAAUCUAAAGUAGAACUUCUACAUUGGAAAGCGGCUAACUUCAAUAGAUUGAGAGGGGAGUGGAAAUGGAACCAAAGACUGACAAGAAAAACUGUAACAGAGCAAUGGGUGAUCUUUAAGGAAGCAAUGUUUCAGCUGGACAAAGACUGUGAUUGGUUUUUCAAUAUCGAUGUUCCAGUAUCGUGGGGUCCGGAAAACAAUCGCAAACUGAGAAAUAGACAAGCCCAGAAAGAAAUUACUUUUCCAGAUGUAUGAACAGCUACUGAACAAUAACUUUGCAAUGAACAACACCUGGUGAAGUGUGCACUGUAGGAGGACCAGAAUCCUGAUCAUUAAAUUGCCGCAGCUCAGUGGAAAGCAUUCUCGUCCAUGUCAGAAGGACAUGGGUUAAAGUCCCACCCUGAAGACCCGAGCACACAAAGCAGCGUGAUACUCCACUGCAGAGGGAGUGCUGCACUGUCUGAGGUGCCAUUGUCUGGAUGAGAUAUUAAACUGAGGCAAAACAGAGAAAGAGCCCAUGAAGAAAGAAAAGGAGUUGCAUUUCUAUAGCACCUUUCACAACCUCAGAACGUCCUAAAGCACCUUACAGCCAGUGAUGCUCUUUUGAAGAGUAGGCACUGUUGUAAAGUAGAACAGUGGAAUCUACUUCAAAGAUGAAUCUGUAAAGGACAGGUUUUGAUUAAGCAAUUUGAAUUUUUUGAAGAGACAAUUAAAGUAGUGGACAAUAGAAUAUCUAUAGAAGUUAUUUAUAUGGAAUUUCAGAGGCAUUUGAUAAAGUCCCUUACAAGAAACAGUUAGCUAAAGUUGAAAUUAAUUAGAGGCACAUUGAGCUGCUUAGAAAAUUGAGAGGAAGGAGACAGGGAUAAUGGGCAUAUACUCUAAUCGGAAGGAAGUAAUGACCGGUGUCCUGUAAGGAUCUAUGUUGGGGUCUCAGCUAUUCACCAUAUUUACUAAUGAUCCAGAUGGGCUGAAAAGCCACAUUGCCAAAUUUGCUGAUAACACAAUGAAAAGUGGCAUUGGAAGCAUAAAAUUACCAAGGGAUACGAAUAUAUGAAAUGAACAAGUAAAAAGAUUUCAAUGUGGACAUCUGGCUGGUUAUCCACUUUGGGUAUUAAAGAAAAGGACAAAACAGGGUGCUUUGGAAAUGGUGAAAAUGUAGAAACCAUGGAAGUUCAGAGAGACCUGGGGGUCCAGGUACAAAAAUAAUCAUGAAGGCUGAUGGAAUGCUGACCUUUAUAUUGAGAGGAUGGGAAUACAAGGGGGUAGAGGUCAUGUUUCAGCUGUACAAAGCCCUGGUUAGACCACGCCUGGAGUUACUGAGGGCAGUUCUGGGCACAAUGCCUUAGGAAGGAUGUAUGAGCCUAGAAGUGCAGCUUAGAUUUGUCUGAAUGAUACCUGGACUCCAAGCGAUAAGUUACAAAGAGAGAUCACACGAACGAGGGUU